CCUACGGGAGGCAGCAGUGGGGAAUAUUGUGCAAUGGGCGCAAGCCUGACCCAGCAACGCCGCGUGAGGGAAGAAGGCUUUCGGGUUGUAAACUUCUUUUCUCAGGGACGAAACAAGUGACGGUACCUGAAGAAUCAGCCACGGCUAACUACGUGCCAGCAGCCGCGGUAAUACGUAGGUGGCAAGCUUUAUACGGAUUUACUGGGUGUAAAGGGCGUGUAGGCGGGACUGCAAGGCAGAUGUGAAAACCAUGGGCUCAACCUCUGGCCUGCAUUUGACACUGUAGUUCUUGAGUACUGGAGAGGCAGACGGAAUUCCUAGUGUAGCGGUGAAAUGCGUAGAUAUUAGGAGGAACACCAGUGGCGAAGGCGGUCUGCUGGACAGCAACUGACGCUGAGGCGCGAAAGCGUGGGGAGCAAACAGGAUUAGAUACCCGUGUAGUC
rnacentral:rRNA from 1 species